GAAUCUGCCCUCAGGAGGGGGAUAACGGCUGGAAACGGCCGCUAAUACCCCAUAUGCCGAGAGGUGAAACGAAUUUCGCCUGAGGAUGAGCUCGCGUCUGAUUAGCUAGUUGGUAGGGUAAAGGCCUACCAAGGCAUUGAUCAGUAGCUGGUCUGAGAGGAUGAUCAGCCACACUGGGACUGAGACACGGCCCAGACUCCUACGGGAGGCAGCAGUGGGGAAUUUUCCGCAAUGGGCGCAAGCCUGACGGAGCAACGCCGCGUGAGGGAUGAAGGCCUCUGGGCUGUAAACCUCUUUUAUCAAGGAAGAAGAUCUGACGGUACUUGAUGAAUAAGCCACGGCUAAUUCCGUGCCAGCAGCCGCGGUAAUACGGGAGUGGCAAGCGUUAUCCGGAAUUAUUGGGCGUAAAGCGUCCGCAGGCGGUUUUACAAGUCUGUCGUUAAAGCGUGGAGCUCAACUCCAUUUCAGCGAUGGAAACUGUAAGACUCGAGUGUGGUAGGGGCAGAGGGAGUUCCCGGUGUAGCGGUGAAAUGCGUAGAUAUCGGGAAGAACACCAGUGGCGAAAGCGCUCUGCUGGGCCAUAACUGACGCUCAUGGACGAAAGCCAGGGGAGCG
rnacentral:rRNA from 1 species